GAGAGAGAAUGAGGGCUCAGCAACUAUGGGGCCACGGCGGCCACGGGUCCACCCUCCCCAGCCACCACCUCCCUCCAAGAGCCCCUCGAGUUCCCUGUGCUGCGGUGGCCUGGCGCUGUGUCAGGGUUCACGAGUGGCCCUCAACCUCUGGUUGCUUGGACACAGGUGUGAGAGCCCAGUGCCACCAGGCAGGGGGAGGAUGAGGAGGCGGAGAGCUAUGUCCUACAGGAGAAUACGCUGUGUGCUCCCAACAGGGGGCAUGGCAUGACGCUUUCUGAGAGGCAGUUAGCAAGGUGACAGGGUCUGUGGUUCACAACGUGUGGGGUGUGUGCCAUCUCUUGUGGGCAGUGUGAACUCACGGUUCUCUUCCCGAUAUCACUGGGACUAGCAUGGGGCUUGAGAUACAGCUCAGGUUCCCAAAAGCUCCCCGGGGGGCUCAGUCUCAGGGGUAAUGGAGGCUGGAGCUUCUCCAGGAAGCAUCAGCCUCCGUCUUGUCCAUGGUAAAGGGUUGCACCCUCCCCUCGGCCUUCUGAUUUCAUGAGUGCCGAGCAUCCUCCUCCUAGCACACACCAGCUUGGACACCCCGUAGGCCUGAGUGUCAGGGAGCUGUGUGAGGGAACAACUCUGGGACAAGUAGGCUCUUCAUCCCAAGCAACAGCAUCCAAGUCUCCAGGCCAAAAUGACCUGAAUUCACAUACAAUUCCAUUUAAAGUAAACGUCACAUGGCUCAGAACUCGGGCAAGAAUCUGAAAGCAGGACUAACAGGAUAAGCACUCUUUGCUCCGUGUGUGCCUGGGCCAUUCCUGGGCACAGCAUCCAGGACUAUGGCGCUAGGCUUAGUCUAGGGGAGAUAACAUGGCCUUUGGAGCCAGUGGCCCUGGAUUCAAGCUCUUACUGACCCCAGUUUACAGUUCAGGAUACUGAGGGCAAGAGUGAGGGGCUAGAGUCCAUGGGGAUUUCUUUGUUCAUCUGCAGGUCUACUGUCUUCCAUCCGACCUGACCCUGGAGUUUGAAGUGUGGGGCCAACUUGCCGGUUUCGGUUGGGACUUUGCUUCGAAUGGUGUGCCUGCUGCCAGGCGAGAAGCGUUCAGGUGUGUCAGGUACAGGAUUUCUCCCCGGCUCACUCGCCAAGCGCUGCGAGAUGUGCACCACUGUAGCUUCUUUUGGAGGGUCACACUUAAUCUCUUGUCAGCACUCGGAGCCUUUCAGAGCCGAGGAGAAAACCAUUCUUGCAACUUGCUUUCAAUCAAACAGGGCUUCACUCAGCUUGAUAAUGGACCCCUACUAACUCCUGAAUGCUUCAGAAAUGAAGUUCACUCUUGAAAGACAUGGGCCUCACCCCAGGCCUGUUCCCAGUCUGUGUGGAGGAGCCUACGGGCUGUAGUAGGUGCACCCCAGAGUUGGGGCACCCUCACAGGUCCCCCACCCAAGCACAGGGCACUCCUGCCAGCAGGCAGCACACACAAGCCUGUGACCAGACCAGGCUCAGAAGCUGAGGGGGAGCUGCAGAGGUGUUCCGGACAGGCAGCCUCCACCUGAGGACCCCCUGGGGCUCUGUGCACCAGCAAAGUUGGGGUGACCAACAAGCGGCCUGGGGUGGAGGGUGGUGGGAACGGUGCAGAAGUUUCUCAUCCUCACUCCGGGACCUGCAGGCUCAGCCUGGCAAGAAGCUGUUCUCACAAGCCUGGCUCAGCUGCCCUGACUUUCCUCACAGGAGUCGAGAAGCACAGAGGCCAUGCUGUCCAGGACAAGACGCAGGCUGGAAAGACUGCACGAUGUAAAGCCGACCUUCUGUUUUGGCGCUUCUCUCUGAUGCUGUCCGGAGAACUCAAUUAAAACGAUCCCACUUGUUCUGAUCCAGAGGAGGCAGCUGCCGCAGGGGGCAGCCUGCACUCAGGCCAGGAACUCCAGGGACUUCUGACCAGGCAGAGCUCGGCCUGUACACACCACCUGGCUAGGCAGGGGCCAGGCAGCACUGGAAGCCCAAGACCAGGCUCCACCAGCCCCAGACACCCUACUAGCGAUGCCCUCCUGGGCGUCCCUGCCUGCACCUGCACAGGUGAGCUGGGCCGAGGUGAGGGCCUCUGUUGUGUGGCCUGAUGGUCGCAGCUCACCUCCUCUGGCAUGUGCCCCGCUGGAGCUGGCUCUGGGCAAGGCUUCGUGAGCUGCCCUCGUGCCACUCUGAGGCUGCUCUGCCCGAGCCAGGGGAGAUGGUGUGGUACAGAGAUGUGACGGGGCCUCCCUGGGGCGCCACCAGGCCAGCCACUGCACCUGGGCCCAGCACCUUCUGACACACACCUUCUCCCCCAGCUUCCCAUUCCUCUGCCCUGGAAGAUGUGUGAUUCUGACUGAAGGGACAUUAGUCCCUGUUCCUCUCAGUCAACAGUUUUCCACUUUAGCUUCUAUCAGGAUUAUGGAGGGGUGGCCAACAUGCAGUUUGCAGGCUCCAGCCAGGAAGUCUGAUGAGGUGAGCCCAUGCUCUGAGAGCCACUGUUCUACAUGCAGUCAGGGUGGACUUAAUAAUCUGAGCUUGUAGGGUGGGCCCAGAGGUUAAGAACCUACAAGUGGGAAGAAAGGGAGGGGGUCGAAGGUCAUAGAGCUGCAGUGCCCAGGCCUGUAUGCCCCACUGUUAAGGGAGCACAGGCUGAUCUGGCUUGUCCUGCAAGGUUGCUGUUGGGUGACUAUGAAUGUGAUCUGUUCCCAGGAAACCUCUUGAUGACAAACCUAGACCUGUGUCUGAGGCAGUCACAGCCUGAAGAAGAGACCCAGCCACGGGACUGUGGCCCCUCUGGACCACACAGGCCACCAGGAAGGAGUGGGGGUGGCAGCAGCUUUCCUCUUGUCUUCAGAAGAAAACAGAAUGAAGAUAUAUGGCAACUAGACAGACGGCAAUCCCAAACAACAGUGGCGUCCGUUCUGGACUUACCUGCACUUGGAGGUGAGGGGGCUAGAGCACAGGGCAGGGUGGGCAUGGGAACUUGAGGCUGGGGUGGAGUGCACUUUCACUUGUCCUCUGUGCAGGGUGGCCCCUCCCACUGCCCAGAACUGCAGGGCCAGAGGGGAGGCGUGGCACCCAUAGCUAAGCUCCAGGAGGGGGAUGCCCCUUCUGUCCUUGCUGAAGGGGGAUGGGGAGAGGCAGAGGCUCCAGAGGGAAGAGUUUUCCCGUAUCGGCUCCUCUGGUGUGACUACCGUGACCCCGGGAAGCCCUGGCGCACGGUGCCCAUCUGCCUAUAGGCAAGGCCUUUUGCGUAUAGUGGCUAAGCUCUGCUCAAGCAGACAUCCCAGGACCAGCUCUGGCACUUGGGCUGUGGGACCCUCAGUGAUGGCACUGUUCAGGGAAGCAGCAUUACAAGGUGUGCACAAGGUUAAAACCAGCAAAGUCCACUCUCUGUCCUCCUCGUGGGUUUGGAAGGGGAGCGCUUUGAGAAGAGCAGCUUUCUAUAUGCACAAGGAAUGGUUCUGGCCCAGGAGGACAACGUCUGGCUGUGUCAUGGGGUGUCAGUGUGCUGGACCCAUGCUAUACUGCACAGCCCGCCUUCCUCAAGUACUGGGAGGCACUGAUGGCAGAGACCCUGGAAGGCUCUCCAUGUGCACAGGACGCCUCAGGGACAGCCACCUGCCGACACAGUGCCCUGGGCUGUAGCAGCUCUGAAGGCCACUUUCUACUUGCUGCUGUGCUCUGUCCAGAGGGUGAGGCUUCUAGAGGCCUGAGGCUCAGACCCUGGGGAGGGAGGAGCCUGGAGAUGUGACGGACAGUGAGACACAGCCUCAGAGGCAGCCAUCCCACCUUCUUCAUGGCAGAGUUCUCAAAGCAUGCUCUUUUCAGAGAGCACCUUAAUGUCUGAGCGGUCCUGAGAUGCUGCAUGAUGGGGGGGACGAUCACGUUUCCUUUACGGGGUAGGGGUUAGAGCCAAAGGUGGGGUUCGUCUGCCUGCUAUCACCCGGCUGGUUAGCCAGGCCCAAGCCCGGGCGCAGUGCUGCUGACAGGCAGGGACCUUAUGGGCUAUGUGCUGACAUCUGGGGUGGGGGCAAUUGGGGGCUUGUGGCUGAGUCCUACCCGCCCCGUUAGAGGUUCAACAACUACACCCUUCCAGGGCUGCCCCUCUGGGUUCUGGGUCUGUCUUAGGGGCAGUUGUACUGCUCCCCACAACCUCUGUAAGUCUCCCUGGGGAGAUUUCAGGGAUGGGAAGAGGGGACAGCCCUGUUUAAUGUACCUGCCCACUCAGAUCCACCUCAUGAGCAGGGCAGUGAGACACAGGUAGAGGGGGGCUGGAGACCGCUCGGGAAUCCAUGGGUAAGGGGCAGAGGGCUUUGCCUAGAGUGCUGGACGCAGCCUCAGCUGACCGUGUGCACAGAGGUCUCUUCAAGUGUGGCCCACACACACCGGGGAGAGCACCACAUG